ACAAGUAUGUAAUAAUCACAAUAGUAUUUUCUAUUCAACUAAAAAAGGUAAAUAAUUGUGAAAAUUAAAUACAAACCACUUGACAGAAUUAAAAGAUUUCAGGAUUUCUUAAAUACAAUUGCUUGCUAAAGAAGGUAUGUCCAAUUCAUUUUAAUCACGUCAGCUCUUUGAAUAAGAUGAAAAAGUACAGUCCCCAUUUAGGCAGGAAAGGUUAAUUGGGACUCACAAAUUACACCCUAAACCAUUUUGAUUAAAUAAAAUACAUGCUUCAUGCACAUGUGGUUCUGCCUCUUUAUCUCUUUUUGUGUCUGUUGUUAACUUCUUUAAUCAAUGUUCUGGCCAACACUAAAUCCACAAGUGGAAUCAGCUCAUAUUCAUGUACAUCACUUCCUUUAAUGUAAACUUUUGUAGUUCUAUGCAUCUGAAUCAAUCACAAACCAUAAUCUAAUUUGGAUUGCUGGGGCCUAAAAUCGUCUCCAUAUAUCGAUCCCUGUCGCUCAAAAACUUCGUUGAGUUGUAAUCUUCUGCAGCAUAUAGUUCUUCUGAGUACGUCCUAUGAAGUUUCGAUUUCUGCCUCUCUUUCAAAAUUCUCAAACUCUCUUCUUCACCUCUUAGUAUCUGUACGACCUGUAUUGGUUCAAGAAAAAUAUAUUAGUAAGAUCCUCAACAAUGCAUCAAUUUUGCUUCUAUGAUUCUUUUUUCGUGUUAGUAAGGUGUUUACUGGCGUCAACUCACUAACUGUAUGCUUGGAAACAUGGUAGCUCACCUUGAAAAGAGUAUUGGGCGUGAGGGGUGUGGGAAAAAUCCUUCACUUUGGAUAGAUAAGACUCUUGAGAGGAGUUUAUAAAGAGGAGACAAUCCUCACCUUACAAGCCAAGCCGGUUUUAUAAGGUGAGGAUUGCCUCCUCUUUAUAAACUCUUCUCAAGAGUCUUAUCUAUCCGAUGUGGGACUUGGAUUUUUCCCAAUAGAUGUAGCUUUUGUCAUCAUGGAAAAAUGAUUUCCAAGAGACACUAAGUUUUUCUUUCCAGCAAAAUUAUUAGAAUUUAAUUUUGUCAAACUUUUUUUGCUUGCAAACCUCAAUUCGAUUAGAACUGACGUAAAACUAGCCUUUGCAUUCAGAGCCGGCCCAACACUUAUUGAGGCUUAAAGCGAACUCAAAAGAGCGGUCGUGACAAAAAAUAGAGGUAUUUUUAAUCUUCAUAAUACUUUUACCAACUUGGACCUUGGGUAGGCCAUGUUUGUUUUAGAUUGAAAAAUUUACACUAAAUUUUACAUCAAAUGAGUAAUAUCCAAAGGUAAAUCAUUUCACUUCAAACUCAAUUGUAAUGAAAUCAAUUUAUAAAAAUCUAUUCCAUUUAAAAUACUUGGAUAAGCAAAUAGAUAUGGUAAAAAUUAGUUUUAGUUAGGAAGAUACUUGGAUAAGCAAAUAUGCAAUAUGAAACUCAUAUAUAGAAAGUACAUGCCUGACUCAUAUGCGGUCGCUGUAUUGAGGACUGAUCUAUACACAUAGAAGCAGCUAAUAUUACAAGUUUCAUCUGUUCUGCAUCAUAAGCAUCAUCCAAAACUGGAUCAACUAGCUCUUUGAUGUUAUUACUAGUUAGCAAAGGUUUUGCCUGCCACAUUUAUUUUUCAUAAGAGUGUAUAAGAAUUGACCUUUUCAACAUCAAGAUGAUCAAUAAACAGAAUGCAAUAGCAGACACUUACCCACAUCACCAGACUUUUUUGUGAACUAUCCAAAGCUUGUCUCCCAGUAAUGAGCUCCAAUAAUAGUACACCAUAAGCAUAUACAUCAGUUUUUUCAUCUACUAUACCAUGCAUGAAGAAUUCAGGAGGAAGAUAGCUGUUUUGACAUUCACCAGAAGAAAAAUUUGUUAUAAGUUAAAUACUAGGUGAAAAGAGUACUGAAAAUGUGAAGAACUUGUGAAGCUGCUAAAAGAUACAAACCCAAAUGUGCCUUCCACUUUGGAGACAGUAUGGUGAGUCCAUUGAUCAGGUAACCACUUUGCAAGCCCAAAAUCAGAUAUCUGGUUUAAGAUUGGAGUUAAAAUUGUUACAAGAAACUUAGAUGAAACAAAAGUGCAUCUUUGGAUUGACAAUGAGUUUGACAGAAUCAGGUGUCCUUCGUGAUUUUGGCGAAAGUUACAUUUUGAAACUUCAACAAAAUCAUGUUAAUGUGAUUUUGGUAAACGCACAAAUUGUUGUUGAUUUAGAAUAUAAGAAUUAUAAUAUUUGCUGAAAAAUGCAUGUUUCAUAAAGAAUCAGAUUUGUGAGUCAUAAGAAGGACCUGAGGCUCAAAGUCCUCUGAGAGAAGUAUAUUAGAAGCUUUGAUAUCUUUGUGAAUAAUCCUUCUUUGACAUCCCUCAUGCAGAUAGUGAAGACCCUCAGCAGUCCCCAAAGUAAUCCUAUAUCUAAGGCUCCAAUUCAGUUUCUCUCUAGGUCCUGAAAUCCAUAAAAGGAAAGAAAUCAACCUUAAUUAAGUGAUUAUCAUAUAAGAUUGUGUAAGUUUUUUCUAUAACAAAAGAUAAAAUAAAGUCAAAUUAUUUUCUUACUAGUUAUAAGUUGUUUUCAUAAGCUAUCUUGAAGAGUUUAUAGAAAUAAGAUGAAAACAAUUUAAUCAUGAACAUGUCAUGAGAAGUUUCUAUAAGCUCUCUCAAACAAUCUCGUAGGUGAUUAUAUCAGUAGAUAAGUUCAAAUAAGUUAAUUCAAAAAGACUCUUGGAUUUGCAAAGAAAUAGAAAUUUUGAAACAUACCGUAGAGUAAGGAUGACAAGCUUCCAUGAGGAGACAAUUGAAGAACAAGAAACAUUCCACCUUCAACACCAUAUCCAAUCAAUCUAGCAAUAUUGGGGUGAUCCACAUGCACUAUAAUGCCAAGCUCAGACAAAAAGUCUGCAGUCAUUUCUUCUUGGCAACCUCUUGUCAACCUUUUAAUGGCAACAAAGUUUCCAUCUUCCAGUUUUCCUAAGUAAACCUCGGCAUAGCCUCCCUCCCCAAUCAAAUUAUCUUCAAAAAUAAAUACAUAAAACCUUAUAAGUCUAACAAGCUAUGACAAAACACAGACACGGCACCGGCACAGGUCCAACUACUUUGACUACAAGAUUAUUUCAUUUAGGGUAAGAGUUGUGAGUUUGAUCAGUCGUUUUGAAAUCUUUGAAACGGCACCGGCACAGGUGAACACAUAAGUGAUUGAAUAUAAUCAAACUUAUCGGUGCCUGACACUAACACGUGUCAGGCAAUGAGCACAUAUUCAAUCUAAAGUGUCGAUGUGACAUACCUUGGCUAAAGUCAUUGGUUGCAGCUUGGAUUUCUGCGAGAGUGAAAUUUUUCCAUGAAGAUUUGAAGCACAUAAACUCAGAAUCAAAAGAAGACUGAAGAGCUGGAGAAUUGAGAGAUGGAAUGAAUUCCUCCCUAAUUCUUUUGCUCUUUCGUCUAGUAAGUUUUGGAACAUUUUUCAGUGGAUGAAAGGUAUGAAAUGGCAUUUGUGGUCCCUUUUUGAUUAAUUUAAAGAAACCUCGCCAUUGUCUUGUACCUCCCUCGGAAUCAGAAGUGCUUGCCCUUGAACUUGGUGUAUCAGAUUCUUGACUUCUAGGUGAAUACUCGGAUUGGUCUCCGUUCUCAGUCUCUAAAACUGACAAGUCUAAUAACAUAUAUGGUACAUUCAUUCAAACAUUAGUACAGCAAAUAAAUAAUUGAACUGUUUUCUUAUUGAAUUAGUGACGGAAAAUUUGAGACGGAAAAAAUGAAAUCCGUCUCUAAUUUGGUCGGUAAUUCAACCUUCUUUUAGUAGAGAUGGAAUUAAAGAGUAAAGAUAAAAGGAUUGAAAUUAAUUAUUACCAAUAUUAGAAAAAGAAUCAGAAAAUCCAGGUCGUGGUCGUCUGCCUCUGCUGUCUCUUAAUAAAUUGAUACUCUCCUUUUUUUCUAAUUUUUUUCUGUCUGGCUUGUGAACGUCAUUUCUGCCAAUAUAUCAAUCUCCUUUGUCAGCACACACUAAAUAAUUAAUGUGACACAAUGUACAUUGUCAAAAUUUCCAAUAAAAUAACCCAGCAUAAUAAUAGUAAUAACAUAGGAACAAGAUAGGCCAAAAGUUUGGUAUUACGGUGGGGUUGUUGAAAUCACGUUGAGACACCAUGAUUUUGCAAACGCUAAACCCGGAAAACCUACGUGAUAUCAAACAUAUAAAACAUCAUUUAUGUUGGAAUACAUUCAUCUAAAUAUAAAAGUGAGUAAACAAUAAAUUCAAGAUUGAAAAUCAAUUGUAGAGUCAAAAACACUAAAUUCUAGCUCUAAAUUCUACUCGAGAGGAUAUAAACGUGUCAAAAUCAAUUCUAUGAAUCUCGAAAUGAUUUUGUAUUUUUCAAACGUGGAACCGAAACCAAACAUACACAAAGACAUGUCCGAAACAAAAUAUAUCAACACAAGUACACAACAUCAAUCAAUACACAUGUAUAAAAAUUAAUGGUACAUUAAGCAAAAAAAAGUCAACUUACUUGCAUGUAAAAUCAAUAUAGAUUAUUAUUAAGGAAACAUUACAGAUAUAAUACCAUAUUAAUUAAUGAAUGAGAUGGAAAUAACGUUGCAUGCAUGCAUGCACGUAUAAAGAAAUGAACUCAAAAUGUUUAAGAAAAGGUGGUAUUACCUCGAGAAAGAAGGCUGUGGUGGUUCUCGUUGUUCAUCGCUCAUGAUGGCGAUGGAAAAAGGUAGGAGGAGACACCGAGAACCAAGAAGAACGAGAAUGACGCGCACGGAUAGAGUCAGCAAGAAGAGAGAGAGAGAAAGAGAGAUGGAAGAAAGACAUGAAAAUGAAAGAAAUGGUUGGCAUCAUUUCUCUGUCCCUACGUUCUUCUAACUUCUUACUACACACCCGAUUUUUUAUCCUCAAAUUUCGUUCAACUUUACAGGAAUAUGCUCAUUGAUUUUGUAUAUAUUCCUAUUACAUAUAUUUUCUUAACAAAAAAUAUAUAAAAAGCUUAAUUUUUUUUUCUUUAUAUUUAUGAUACAUAAAUUUAAUUUUUAUGUAUGGACAAGGCUUGUCAACUCACUUGUCCUUAAAUAUAUGGAAUCAUUUCUUGUCAAAAAUUAAAGGAUAAAUUCUUUUCCCUCCCUCCACAUCUGAUUCGAAUAGUAAAAUCCGAAAAAAUAUAGGGUUACGUUGGAGGAUGUUUUCAGUUACACCUUUUAAAUUAUUUAAUCUAAAAUGUUGCAGGACGUGUAAGAAGCUAAUAGGGUGGGAUAAGAAAUUGUCAAAUUAAAGUUGACAUCAUGGUUAUAAGAACUUAGUUUCACGAGACUAAGUUGGUCCAUGAACAUAAUUUUUACGAAGAUAUCACAGUUCAUUUUAGAUCCAGCGAACAGAGAACAGACAAGUAGUCGACGAGGAAUGCAACACAACAUCAUCUAGAGUGCAAUUGUUACGGUAAUCAUAUGGUGUUGGGAUUUCAAAAGGGUUUUUCAAAAUUUUAAUUCUCUUAGCGGAAUAAAUCUUGAUGAACGAAUAUUAAUUAAUUAAAUCAUUAAUCACAAAUCAAAGCAUUUUAAGGAUUCAUAUGUUUAUCUCUUGAAGCACAGAUCCUUUAAAGUCAAACUCUUAGAGUUAGUAAUCACAAGCACUACUCGACGACAACACCUCUACUCAGUCCACACAAACAUAUUCUUCAAUCACGGUCCUACCUGCUUACGGAUGAAGGCUUGGAGAAAGAUGGACAGGUUUUAUAGGGUUUCAGAAAACUAGGGCUUAUGAAUCAUAAAAUUUAGUUAAGUGUAAUCUUGAUUUAGCAUAAGAGUUCUAUUUAAUUUAUAGUACCACUUGUGUGAUAUGCAAGUCUAGCAGACACUAUUGGGC
rnacentral:lncRNA from 1 species